rnacentral:tRNA from 2 species
GUGGGUGUAGUUCAAUGGUAGAGCACUGGAUUGUGGUUCCAGGCGUUGCGGGUUCAAAUCCCGUCAUCCACCCCA